UGCCACAGCAGUGAAAAAAGCGAACCAAACUUGACUAACACAGGAAGAAAAUGGAGAUCUGGGCCCAGGAAGAAAUCCUUCUGGCCUAUGAAGAUGGAGCGCUCCCGGGGUCGCCAUCUGCACAGGGAGUCCUGAGUGCAGCCGUCCACUCCAUUUCUUUAAAACCGAACCGUGAGGACGCUUGCUCGUUCAGCACCUAGGGCGACUCCCGGAUGACCCUCGCUGUUCCAGUGUCAGGCCACACAUUGACUUACUCUGGCUCUUAUUCUCUUGGGAAGAUGUUUCCUCAUUGUUGGAUCUUGACCUGUAACUUUCUAGAGUUUGCUCUGAAAUUUCACUCUCUGUAAGAAAAGAGAAUUGCAUUACUAAUUUCUGACAUUGCAGGCAUCGUUAGAAAUGGAUGCUCGAAGAAGG